rnacentral:rRNA from 1 species
AGAGUUUGAUCCUGGCUCAGAUUGAACGCUGGCGGCAGGCCUAACACAUGCAAGUCGAGCGGAAACGAGUUAUCUGAACCUUUCGGGGAACGAUAACGGCGUCGAGCGGUGGACGGGUGAGUAAUGCCUAGGAAAUUGCCUGAUGUGGGGGAUAACCAUUGGAAACGAUGGCUAAUACCGCAUAAUACCUACGGGUCAAAGAGGGGGACCUUCGGGCCUCUCGCGUCAGGAUAUGCCUAGGUGGGAUUAGCUAGUUGGUGAGGUAAUGGCUCACCAAGGCGACGAUCCCUAGCUGGUCUGAGAGGAUGAUCAGCCACACUGGAACUGAGACACGGUCCAGACUCCUACGGGAGGCAGCAGUGGGGAAUAUUGCACAAUGGGCGCAAGCCUGAUGCAGCCAUGCCGCGUGUGUGAAGAAGGCCUUCGGGUUGUAAAGCACUUUCAGUCGUGAGGAAGGUAGUGUAGUUAAUAGCUGCAUUAUUUGACGUUAGCGACAGAAGAAGCACCGGCUAACUCCGUGCCAGCAGCCGCGGUAAUACGGAGGGUGCGAGCGUUAAUCGGAAUUACUGGGCGUAAAGCGCAUGCAGGUGGUUUGUUAAGUCAGAUGUGAAAGCCCGGGGCUCAACCUCGGAAUAGCAUUUGAAACUGGCAGACUAGAGUACUGUAGAGGGGGGUAGAAUUUCAGGUGUAGCGGUGAAAUGCGUAGAGAUCUGAAGGAAUACCGGUGGCGAAGGCGGCCCCCUGGACAGAUACUGACACUCAGAUGCGAAAGCGUGGGGAGCAAACAGGAUUAGAUACCCUGGUAGUCCACGCCGUAAACGAUGUCUACUUGGAGGUUGUGGCCUUGAGCCGUGGCUUUCGGAGCUAACGCGUUAAGUAGACCGCCUGGGGAGUACGGUCGCAAGAUUAAAACUCAAAGGAAUUGACGG